rnacentral:rRNA from 1 species
CAGCAGCCGCGGGAAUACAGAGGGUGCAAGCGUUAAUCGGAUUUACUGGGCGUAAAGGGCGCGUAGGUGGUUAUUUAAGUGAGAUGUGAAAGCCCCGGGCUUAACCUGGGAACUGCAUCUUAUACUGGGUAACUGGAGUGCAGUAGAGGGUAGUGGAAUUUCCGGUGUAGCGGUGAAAUGCGUAGAUAUCGGAAGGAACACCAGUGGCGAAGGCGGCUACCUGGACUGAGACUGACACUGAGGCGCGAGAGCGUGGGGAGCAAACAGGAUUAGAUACCCCCGUAGUCCCUGUCUCUUAUAA